rnacentral:rRNA from 1 species
GAUGAACGCUGGCGGCGUGCCUAAUACAUGCAAGUCGAGCGAACGGACGAGAAGCUUGCUUCUCUGAUGUUAGCGGCGGACGGGUGAGUAAAACGUGGAUAACCUACCUAUAAGACUGGGAUAAAUUCGGGAAACCGGAGCUAAUACCGGAUGAUAUUUUGAACCGCAUGGUUCAAAAGUGAAAGACGGUCUUGCUGUCACUUAUAGAUGGAUCCGCGCUGCAUUAGCUAGUUGGUAAGGUAACGGCUUACCAAGGCAACGAUGCAUAGCCGACCUGAGAGGGUGAUCGGCCACACUGGAACUGAGACACGGUCCAGACUCCUACGGGAGGCAGCAGUAGGGAAUCUUCCGCAAUGGGCGAAAGCCUGACGGAGCAACGCCGCGUGAGUGAUGAAGGUCUUCGGAUCGUAAAACUCUGUUAUUAGGGAAGAACAUAUGUGUAAGUAACUGUGCACAUCUUGACGGUACCUAAUCAGAAAGCCACGGCUAACUACGUG